CGACCACCACCACCUCCCAAGAAUGCCCCUACCCUUGCUUACCUUCCCCUCCGAUAGGCGGCGGAGGAGCAAAUUCUCCGCCGUCGAAUAAUCCAUCACCACCCGGGCCUUUUUUACCACCUCCCGGGCCAUUUGGUAAUCCUCCGCCUACCGGCUUUUUACCAAAUGGCCCUCCGCCACCUUAUUAUCUCAAUACUAAUGCACCACCGCCACCUAAUGCCAUGGUGCCUUGGUUUCCUUAUUACUUCAGGAAGCCACCGCAUGGCUCGGAUCAAUCUUCAUCACCAUCGACUCGUCUUUCGGGAUGGACGGCUGUGAUCGUUUCAAC
rnacentral:lncRNA from 1 species